rnacentral:lncRNA from 1 species
CAUUUGUAUUAUCCUUCUUCUGUGAUAGAAACAGUACUAACAGCUAUUUUAUGUUUACUCCCAUGCAGUUUUGCGCUCAGUGGAAACUCCGUGCUGCUGCUUUCCUAGAAACUCAAGGAAAUCUUAUGAAAUUAUUUUUUGGAAUAUCUUAUAAUAACAAACACCAAACAAGGGAUAAUCUGGUGAAAUUUUUUCAGAGACAAUACAAUAUAAAGAGGGAUGACUGCAUUGUCAUUGUAGAAACAGUAUUACUGAGGGCCAUAUGUCAAUGAACACUUCUUAGAAACCAGGACUGCAAACCAGGUUCUCCGACCUGCCAAUGGCACUCACCAUAGUGAGAAAGCAGUGUUCCCUCCUGGCUCUAGCUGAUCUUUGAUUUUAUUGCUUACCCAACAUCUUCCCAGACCACCUGAUGGAUAAAAAGGCCAUUGGAUAAGGCUAUUUUGAGAAGUUGCCUCUGGCUGUACAGAAACCAUUAGUCUGAG